GACGAACGCUGGCGGCGUGCUUAACACAUGCAAGUCGAACGGAAAGGCCCUGCUUUUGUGGGGUGCUCGAGUGGCGAACGGGUGAGUAACACGUGAGUAACCUGCCCUUGACUUUGGGAUAACUUCAGGAAACUGGGGCUAAUACCGGAUAGGAGCUCCUGCUGCAUGGUGGGGGUUGGAAAGUUUCGGCGGUUGGGGAUGGACUCGCGGCUUAUCAGCUUGUUGGUGGGGUAGUGGCUUACCCAGGCUGUGAAGGGUAGCCGGCCUGAGAGGGUGACCGGGCACAAGAGGACUGCGAUACGGACCAGACGCCUACGGGAGGCAGCAGUCGGAAAUAUUGCACAAUGGGCGGACGCCUGAUGCGACAACGCCGCGUGCGGGAUGACGGCCUUCGGGUUAAAAACCGCUUUCGCCUGUGACGAAGCGUGAGUGACGGUAAUGGGUAAAGAAGCACCGGCUAACUACGUG
rnacentral:rRNA from 1 species